rnacentral:rRNA from 1 species
CAGUUCGGAUUGUAGUCUGCAACUCGACUACAUGAAGCUGGAAUCGCUAGUAAUCGCGAAUCAGAAUGUCGCGGUGAAUACGUUCCCGGGUCUUGUACACACCGCCCGUCAAGCCAUGGAAGCCGGGAGUGCCUGAAGUGCGUGAGCGCAAGCAGCGCCCUAAGGUAAAACCGGUGACUGGGGCUAAGUCGUAACAAGGUAGC